rnacentral:rRNA from 1 species
UACGUAGGGAGCUAGCGUUGUCCGGAAUCAUUGGGCGUAAAGCGCGCGUAGGCGGCCCGGUAAGUCCGCUGUGAAAGUCAAAGGCUCAACCUUUGAAUGUCAGCGGAUACUGCCGGGCUAGAGUCCGGAAGAGGCGAGUGGAACUCCUGGUGUAGCGGUGGAAUGCGCAGAUAUCAGGAAGAACAUCAACGGCGAAGGCAGCUCGCUGGGACGGAACUGACGCUAAGGCGCGAAAGCGUGGGGAGCGAACAGG